CUGAGCGGCGGACGGGUGAGUAACGCGUGGGUAACCUGCCUCAUACAGGGGGAUAACAGUUGGAAACGGCUGCUAAUACCGCAUAAGCGCACAGUACCGCAUGGUACGGUGUGAAAAACUCCGGUGGUAUGAGAUGGACCCGCGUCUGAUUAGGUAGUUGGCGGGGUAACGGCCUACCAAGCCGACGAUCAGUAGCCGACCUGAGAGGGUGACCGGCCACAUUGGGACUGAGACACGGCCCAA
rnacentral:rRNA from 1 species